AGAGGGCAGACCCUACCUUGAGCCAAGAUUCCUGCUGCAGACUGGAGCUGUCUGGAGAAUGUCUGUGCAUGCUCAAGUCCUCAUGAAGACGGCAUGGGAUGAACACGCUACUACACGUCCCUGGACUCUUGCUUGGAUCAAAGGAUAAAAAGGCUGGAAGGGACUGCAGAGACCUUUGAAUACAAUCCUCUCAUUUUACAGAUGAGGAAACUGAGGCCAGCAGUGGCUGAAUGACGUGCCCAGGGUUACACAGCUAAAAAGUGUCUCAGGUCAGAAUGAAGACAGGCCAGAGCUCACAGCAGCCCCAGGAGAGGCCGGUCUCGCUCUAGAGUCCAAGCACGGGGAUCCAGAUCUCGGCCACCUAAUACCAGUGUGACCUUGGUCACGACCCCUUGGCCUCUGUAGGCUCCGAGUCCUUCUCUGCAAAACGAAGGGGCUGGACUUAGGCCCGCCCAGCUCUUCCUAACAGUGUGGGUGACUGUGCGUAUGUGUAAGGGGGGGAGGGCCGGACCCUCUGGCUGGGACUCCGCCCCCCACCCUCUCCCGGC